rnacentral:rRNA from 1 species
UCGGCUUAGAGUUUGAUCAUGGCUCAGAUUGAACGCUGGCGGCAGGCCUAACACAUGCAAGUCGAGCGGUAGGGAAGCUUGCUUCUCACAAGCGGCGGACGGGUGAGUAAUGUAUGGGGAUCUGCCCGAUAGAGGGGGAUAACUACUGGAAACGGUGGCUAAUACCGCAUAAUCUCUCAGGAGCAAAGCAGUUCGUUGCGCUAUCGGAUGAACCCAUAUGGGAUUAGCUAGUUGGUGAGGUAAUGGCUCACCAAGGCGACAAUCCCUAUCUGGUCUGAGAGGAUGAUCACCCACACUGGGACUGAGACACGGCCCACACUCCUACGGGAGGCAGCACUGGGGAAUAUUGCACAAUGGGCGCAAGCCUGAUGCAGCCAUGCCGCGUGUAUGAAGAAGGCCUUAGGGUUGUAAAGUACUUUCAGUUGGGAGGAAGGCGUUGAUUAAUAUCAACGAUUGACGUUACCAACAGAAGAAGCACCGGCUAACUCCGUGCCAGCAGCCGCGGUAAUACGGAGGGUGCAAGCGUUAAUCGGAAUUACUGGGCGUAAAGCGCACGU